rnacentral:rRNA from 1 species
UACGUAGGGCGCAAGCGUUGUCCGGAAUUAUUGGGCGUAAAGAGCACGUAGGCGGCUUGUCACGUCGAUUGUGAAAGCCCGAGGCUUAACCUCGGGUCUGCAGUCGAUACGGGCUAGCUAGAGUGUGGUAGGGGAGAUCGGAAUUCCUGGUGUAGCGGUGAAAUGCGCAGAUAUCAGGAGGAACACCGGUGGCGAAGGCGGAUCUCUGGGCCAUUACUGACGCUGAGGAGCGAAAGCGUGGGGAGCGAACAGG